rnacentral:rRNA from 1 species
UACGGAGGGUGCGAGCGUUGUCCGGAAUCACUGGGCGUAAAGGGCGCGUAGGCGGCGCGGAUAGUCGGCGGUGAAAGCCCGGAGCUCAACUCCGGGUCGGCCGUCGAUACUUCCGGGCUUGAGCACUGUAGAGGCAGAUGGAAUUCCGGGUGUAGCGGUGGAAUGCGUAGAGAUCCGGAAGAACACCCGUGGCUAAGGCGGCUCUCUAGUACGGUACUGACGCUGAGACGCGAAAGCGUGGGGAGCGAACAGG